rnacentral:ncRNA from 1 species
CCGGCGGAUGCCUCGGCCCGGGCGGCGACGAAGAGCGCGGCGGAGCGCGAGACGCGGUGCGGACCCGCCCGCCCCGAGAAGCACCGACCCUCGAACGCAGCGCGCCCCGGCGCCGCCGCCUCGGCGCCCGCCGCGUGCCGCGCGCCGCGCCGCAGAGAGCGCCCCGGGGCGGUCCCGCCGGGCUGCGCGGCCCGAGGCGGCGGGGGCGACGGGCGGAACUUAAGCAUAUCAGUACGCCCCGGAGGAGAAACCAACCGGGAUUCCCCGUAGCGGCGAGCGACGCGGGAGGAGCCCGCCCCGAAGGCGCGCUGUGGGGCGCAGGCGCAGGCCCGCCGCGAGGGGGCCCGAGGGCCCCGCCCGAGAGGGUGCAAGCCCCGUACGGCGGCCGCCGGGCCUGCGCGGCGAGUAGCGCUGCUUGAGCGUGCAGCGCGAAGGGAGGCGCGGCCCUUCCAAGGCUAAAUACGCCCCGGGACCGAUAGCGGACCAAGUAGCGCGAGCGAACGGUGAAAAGGACGCCCUGCGGCCGCUCAAAAGACCUGAACCCGG